UUCUCUCUCUCUCUCUUUCCUUCUUCGUGUUCUUCAGCUUCUAGCUUCUUCAGGUUAAAUUCAGAUGGAAUAGCGAGAGCAUUUUAGAUUCAAAGCAAUUUAGCUUUUUAGCAUCGAGUUACCAUGAAAAAGUUUGCAGAUCAAUUUGUGGCAAAGUAACUGGUAUUUGAAUCAGAAUCAUCUACCAUAAGGAGGAAAAUUACCCCAAUUUUGUAGCUCUUGUUGGUGUUUCGUAGUUUUGUUGCUGUGGCUGGCUUAGCUGGAGAUGGACAGCGACACGUGGAUCCUCCUCAUUGCUUUGACCAUUUGUGACAAACAAUUCUUUGUUUGUUCCGUUGACAUCCCUUGUUCCAUAAACCUGGAUGGGAAACUUAUCUGUUGAGGUUUUGUAGCUGUUGGCUAAGAACUGCUGCCUCCCUUUUCCAGAACUGAGAAUUAAGAUUGAUACUAUGGUAAGAUUCAGAAUCACAGCUUUUAUUGCUCGAAGUAUGAAUAUGCAGAAAAAAAA